rnacentral:rRNA from 1 species
GACGAACGCUGGCGGCGUGCCUAACACAUGCAAGUCGAACGGAGAUACGAUUUCGGUUGUAUCUUAGUGGCGAACGGGUGAGUAACGCGUGAGCAACCUGACCUUUAGAGGGGGAUAACACUUGGAAACAGGUGCUAAUACCGCAUAAGACCACGACCUGACAUCAGGAUGAGGUCAAAGGAGCAAUCCGCUAAAGGAGGGCUCGCGUCCCAUUAGAUAGAUGGCGGGGUAACGGCCCACCAUGUCGACGAUGGGUAGCCGAGCUGAGAGGCUGAUCGGCCACACUGGAACUGAGACACGGUCCAGACUCCUACGGGAGGCAGCAGUGGGGAAUAUUGGGCAAAUGGGCGCAAGCCUGACCCAGCAACGCCGCGUGAGGGAAGAA